rnacentral:rRNA from 1 species
GAAGCGUUGAAUGAGUUUAGUGGCGGACGGGUGAGUAACGCGUGAGCAAUUUACCUUUGUGAGUGGAAUAACACCCGGAAACAGGUGCUAAUACCGCAUAACGUAUCGAUGUCGCAUGGCAAUGAUACCAAAGAGAAAUCGCACAAAGAUGAGCUCGCGUCCGAUUAGAUAGUUGGUGAGGUAACGGCCCACCAAGUCGACGAUCGGUAGCCGGACUGAGAGGUUGAACGGCCACAUUGGAACUGAGAAACGGUCCAGACUCCUACGGGAGGCAGCAGUGGGGAAUAUUGGGCAAUGGGCGAAAGCCUGACCCAGCGACGCCGCGUGAGGGAAGAAGGUCUUCGGAUUGUAAACCUUAGUUAGCAGGGAAGAA